rnacentral:rRNA from 1 species
UACGUAGGUGGCAAGCGUUGUUCGGAAUUAUUGGGCGUAAAGCGCGCGUAGGCGGUUACUUAUGUCGGAUGUGAAAGCCCUCGGCUUAACUGAGGAAGUGCAUUCGAAACUGGGUAGCUAGAGUACUAAAGAGGGUCGCGGAAUUCCCGGUGUAGAGGUGAAAUUCGUAGAUAUCGGGAGGAACACCGGUGGCGAAGGCGGCGACCUGGGUAGAUACUGACGCUGAGGCGCGAAAGCGUGGGGAGCAAACAGG